GCCAAGGUGGCUUAGUGGCUAACGCACCCGCCUGGUAAGCAAGAGGUCUGGGUUCGAUUCCCAGCCUUGGCA